UGAACAUUUAUCCCUCCCUGUAUUUUUCUGCUUUAAGAGAACAUACAGGUCUCCUAGAUGAAGAGGAGGGUGCUGAGACACAGAAUCACAGAAUCAUCUAGGUUGGAAGAGACCUCCAAGAUCACCGAGUCCAACCUCUGACCUAACACUAGCAAGACCUCCACUAAACCAUAUCACUAAGCUCUACAUCUAAACGUCUUUUAAAGACCUCCACAGGGAUGGUGACUCAACCACUUCCCUGGGCAGCCCAUUCCAAUGCCUAACAACCCUUUCAGUAAAAAAGUUCUUCCUAAUAUCUAACCUAAACCUCCCCUGGCACAGCUUUAGCCCAUUCCCCCUCGUCCUGUCACCAGGCACGUGGGAGAAUAGACCAACCCCCACUUCGCUACAGCCUCCUUUAAGGUAGCUGUAGAGUGUGAUAAGGUCACCCCUGAGCCUCCUCCAGGCUGAACAAUCCCAGCUCCCUCAGCCGCUCCUCGUAAUACUUGUUCUCCAGACCCCUCACCAGCUUCAUUGCCCUUCUGGACACAAUGAAAGACAGUUACUUUCUAAAGCAAGUUCUGGUGCAUAAUGGACUACCAUUGGAUGUCAGCUUGAGAAACACUGCUGUGACUUUACAUUGAAGAAGGCAUCGAAGGUGGCUGGUUUGUGAAUGGCACAGUACCAUCAUUGCGUAUUAGGCUCGCAGUGAUGAAAACAAUUAUCCUGUUUGGCUUCUGGAAAUACCCUGCCUUUAGCCUUAUUAUGCACCUGAGAUGGGUGAAACUGUCUCAACUAUAAUUAUAUUACAGAAGACCUAGGGCCUGAUCCUGCAAGUGUUAAGCAUCCUGCAACAGCUAUUUGUCAGUGAUAAAGAAGAACAAAUAACACCAGAGGUACAAGGUUUUGCUGGAUCAGGCCAUAAAUGUAUAGGACCAGAUCUGGAACAGUACUAGUUGAGAAGCCUUCUUUAACAUAUGCUGGAAGUAGCAAAGAAAACCUGCCUGCACAGAACUGACUGAGUAUGGACAAAAAAGUUCAGGCUGCUGAACAGGAGCCUACUCACGACAAAAAAAACUCUGGAAAGCAGCCUUCACUGCAAGUCCGAUGCUUCUG